GUGGAAUUGAAAUCGGAGCCACUUUCCUUAACACAAUGAGCAAACGUUUGAUGUUCGGCCUUUUUGUUUUCACUCUAUAUCCAGGUGCGGUGCUGGGUGACUCGAUCCAGCCCAGGGAACCCCAGAUGUCUGGAGCUGAAGGCGGCUCCGUGACCCUCAGCUGUUCUUAUGAAACCAGCUACACUUCCGGUGUCUAUCUCUACUGGUACCGUCAGUACCCGAACCGAGCCCCGCAGUACAUCCUGCGGAGAGGAGCAAAAGGAAGCACGUUCAGUGAUACCGCAAGUUUCGCCCAGGAGAGGUUUUCUUCCCAGGCUGCUGACAGCUCCACCGUUCUGAACAUCACAGCCCUGGAGCUGGCGGACACCGCGGUGUAUCUCUGCGCCCUGCAGCAGGCACAGUGA